rnacentral:rRNA from 1 species
UACGAAGGGGGCUAGCGUUGCUCGGAAUCACUGGGCGUAAAGGGCGCGUAGGCGGCCAUUUAAGUUGGGGGUGAAGACCUGUGGCUCAACCACAGAAUUGCCUUCGAUACUGGAUGGCUUGAGUAUGGUAGAGGUUGGUGGAACUGCGAGUGUAGAGGUGAAAUUCGUAGAUAUUCGCAAGAACACCAGUGGCGAAGGCGGCUCACUGGCCCGGUACUGACGCUGAGGUGCGAAAGCGUGGGGAGCAAACAGG